rnacentral:tRNA from 1 species
AGAGAGCUAGUCCAAUGUAAGACCUCUGAUUUCGGCUCAGAAAAUUGUGGUUAAAUCCCACAGCCCUCUU